rnacentral:snoRNA from 1 species
UAAAUGAUGAAAAAUUAUGCUUAUGAACCCUUUGUGAUUUAUUUUCCUCUAAGAAGUUCUGAUAAU